AUUGAACGCUGGCGGCAGGCCUAACACAUGCAAGUCGAGCGGAUGAAGGGAGCUUGCUCCUGGAUUCAGCGGCGGACGGGUGAGUAAUGCCUAGGAAUCUGCCUGAUAGUGGGGGAUAACGUCCGGAAACGGGCGCUAAUACCGCAUACGUCCUGAGGGAGAAAGUGGGGGAUCUUCGGACCUCACGCUAUCAGAUGAGCCUAGGUCGGAUUAGCUAGUUGGUGGGGUAAAGGCCUACCAAGGCGACGAUCCGUAACUGGUCUGAGAGGAUGAUCAGUCACACUGGAACUGAGACACGGUCCAGACUCCUACGGGAGGCAGCAGUGGGGAAUAUUGGACAAUGGGCGAAAGCCUGAUCCAGCCAUGCCGCGUGUGUGAAGAAGGUCUUCGGAUUGUAAAGCACUUUAAGUUGGGAGGAAGGGCCGUAAGUUAAUACCUUGCUGUUUUGACGUUACCAACAGAAUAAGCACCGGCUAACUUCGUG
rnacentral:rRNA from 1 species